UAGCAGAAGUGUGGUUGCGGCAAGAGCAUUCGAGAAAAAUCUUCUGAGAGAGCCACGCUUCUCUCCAUUUCGCGGGUGUAAAUGUGUGUAUUUCAACCGUCGAUGUGUUCACAUGACCGUAAAGCGAAAUCGCAUAAAAGAAGUGAGAUGACACAUAAGAGUACACGAAGAGAAAAUAUUGCAAAUAUAUAAAUCGAGCAAGCUUAUUUUUGAGACGAGUCUUUUCCACGAUAGGACGCUUUAACGUACGGACGCUGAAUUGCUAAAUUAAAAUUGGAUAAUUAUAGCCGUUGCCGAUUUUACGGAGAAUUUAUUUUUUAUGCACGUCCGGUUUUAGUAUGGUAUUAUAAUAUAAUUAAUGAACGUGCACAUGCACGGUCAACGGUAGCUCAUUAAUUGGCCUUUCUGCUUUUCAAGCCUUCAUAGCCUUUUCGGAUUUUUUAUCCUGUGUGCUUGUGUAAUUGUUUUUACUUUAAUUUCUUAUUUUUUAUAUUUGCAAAAUUAUGAAGAGUCAUAUGUGUCAAAGUACAAAUAAAUACAAAGACGCGAUAACCUUCUCUAAAAAGUUCCCAUGAUAUUAAACACAUGAAAUUCUCACUAAUGAAAAGAAAUACAAACAUUUAAAUCGAAUAUACCGAAAAGUAGUUCUUUGAUCACAAUGGAGCCAGGCGAACUCGAUAGCGCCGACGCACCGGACAGAAUAGUCGAGACUUUCGCUGGUCGUAAGAUAAUGCUGACAGGUGGCACGGGAUUUUUAGGAAAAGUGAUUCUCGAGAAAUUUCUGCGAUGCCUGCCCGAAAUAGCGCAAAUUUACAUGCUCAUCAGAUUGAAGAAGGGCAAGGAUCCUAAACAACGGUUGCUCGAGAUACUCAAUUCUCCGGUAAGCUAUAGUUAGUCCGACAGCUUUAGUUAGAUGACAAGGUUGUCAUCUUGUCUCUUUGCACUUUCUAAAACACGCGAAAUGCGCGAUAAAAAAAUUUCUACUAAAUAAUUGUACGGCAAAAUAUGAGAAACGUCGCGCGCAUGUGUGUGUAGGGUAUAUCAUACACUAUUCCGAAAGAAUCGUUUUUUACUUUUUUUUUUGCGAAGGCUCUUUUCGCGCAUCCGCGGAAUUCGGUGGUUGCGUUGCCGCCAUCAGACUUCCACCACGGGAAGAGUAUCCGCUUUGGUCCCUCAAUAAGAGCAUCAAAAAGAGAAAGUGUGUGACUAUGACUCUGCUACUGUACGCACUGCAAGUUGCAUCAUUGUUGCCUUACAACAGAUGGAUAAUAUGAGGUGCCUCUCUUUCUCCUCGUGCGCGCGCGCGCGUUUUUGAUAUUUCUUCGGCAGACAAAUUUGCCGGUGAAAGCGCGCUAACCGGAUCGUCGCCGUCGAUCACAUUGAAAUCCACGUCGCUCUACGUGACGAAAGAAACCAAGUCAAGGCCUUGUCGAAAAUAUAGCGAGAAGAUGGUGAUUAUAUUCAUACACACCGCGCUCUUACCGGUUUUGGUGAAAGUAUACGGCGGAUUGCGCGUUUCGCGCGCGUUAUAUCAUGCCUUUCGAAUUUUAACGCAACACCGUAAACAUGCUACGUCAUACAUAAACGUGCGCACGUAAGAUGCCUAAAUGGGCGUCAUUAGAAUUACGAUUUUCUUUUAUAUCUAUUUUU